AUCCCUGGGCCUGGGCCUACCUAGGUGAAGACAGGCAUUUUUGUUUUCCUGCCCGGAUGUUGCAUUUCCCAAGACCACCCUGGCCUGCCAUGCCCUCAUCCUGUGCCUUUAAAAACCCCCGAGACCCUGGCAGGCAGACGCACAAGCAGCUGGACAUUGAGAGGAGCAUAUAGGCAGAGAAUACAGGGGCUGCUGGAUGUCGAAAGGAACGCACCAGCAUAGGAGCACACCGGCAUGCUGGCAGGCCAUUGACCAGCGGAAGAAUGCAGAGUUUGUCGCGGGAGGUCAGAGAAGAGUCAGGCCGCCAUACCUGACUCCAGGAGAAAACCGUCUCCCUUCUGGUUCCCCCGUCUGCCGAGAGCUACUUCCACUCAAUAAAACUUUCCACUCAUUCUUCAAGCCCACGUGUGAUCCAAUUCUUCCCGUACACCAAGGUCUCGCUGUGUUUCCCAGGCUGGGUGCAGUGGCUAUUCAAAGGUACAAUGAUAGCUCACUGCAGCCUGGAACUCCUGGACUCAAGCGAUCCUCCUGCCUCAGCUGCGACUAACAGAAACAGGGUCUUGCUCUGUUGCCCUGGCUGGAGUGCAAUGGUAUGAUCAUAGCUCACAGUAGCCUUGAACUCCUGGGCCCAAGCCAUCCUCCUACCUCAGCAACCAGAGUAGCUGGGAUUACAGGCGAAUGCCACCACACCUGGGUAAUUUCUUUUUCUUUUUCUUCUUGUUUUUAUUAGAGAUAGGAUCAUGCUAUGUUGCCCAAGCUGGUCUUGAACUUCUGGCCUCCAGCAGUCCUCCUGCCUGAGCCUCCCAAGUAGCUGGGAUUACAGGCAUGAGCCACCAGUCCUGGCAGAUUUGUUAAUUUCUUUGAAUUAUUAUAUAUUUUUAAGUUUACUUCCAUGUAUUUGACUUUUUGUGUGCUUAUAACUGGUAUCUUUUUAAAAUUUCAUUUUGUAAUUGUUGUUGCUGGUGUAUAGAAAUAAAAACAAUUUUCAUAUAUUGACCUUGUCACCAGCAAAUUUUCUAUAUUUACUUAUUAGUUGUAAUGUGUUAUCUGUAGAUUCUGUUAGAUUAUUUGCAUUCAUUAGCAUUGAUUAUGUAAUGGUAUACAUUGGAGCUCAUUUCAUCUUAGUAAACACAAAGUUGGAUAAUUCUUUUUAAUGGCUAGUGAGUAUUUAUAUACUACAGGUCAGUGGCAUGGUUAGUAUGGAGACUGUAGGGUCAGACUUCUGGGUUUGACUUAUGGUUCCACCAGUUAUUAUCUGAGUGACCCUAUUAAUGUCACCCACGUCCCUAUGCUUCACUUUCCUUCAAGGAAGACUCAUGCAUAUGUGUUGCUCUUACCAACACUGUUUCAGUGAAUGCUCUUGAGUAUGUUCCUUGUUUAUAUGUUGUGUAUAAAUGGGUGUGAAGUUCUAUAUUCAGAUAUUUCUCUGAAAUGGUUGUACUAAUUUACACUCGUAUCAGCUGUUUGUAAGAGUUCAUAUUGCCUCACAUUUUUGUCAGCACUUGGUAAUGUCAACCUAUGAAGGGUUUUGAAUCAAAAAGAUUUUGAAAAUCUUGUCAAACUUAAACAUUGGCAAAUUAAAAAAAUAAUAAAACAAUGUUUCAC
rnacentral:lncRNA from 1 species